rnacentral:rRNA from 1 species
CAGUCGCCACGGUAAUACGAAGGGCGCAAGCGUUAAUCGGAAUUACUGGGCGUAAAGCGUGCGUAGGCGGUGAGUUAAGUCUGCUGUGAAAUCCCCGGGCUCAACCUGGGAAUGGCAGUGGAUACUGGCUCGCUAGAGUGUGUCAGAGGAUGGUGGAAUUCCCGGUGUAGCGGUGAAAUGCGUAGAGAUCGGGAGGAACAUCAGUGGCGAAGGCGGCCAUCUGGGACAACACUGACGCUGAGGCACGAAAGCGUGGGGAGCAAACAGGAUUAGAUACCCGCGUAGUCCCUGUCUCUUAUAC